GGGUCGGUGGCGUAGCUGGUUAUCGCAUCUGUCUAACAUUCGGAAUGUCCAAUAGUGUUCACAGAAGGUCCUCAGUUCGAUCCUGGGCCGACUCA
rnacentral:tRNA from 1 species